GUCACAUCCACCUGCUGGGAAACCAGGGGCUAGCCUCAGCAGUGCCGCGCAGGUUACCUGCUCUCCAAAAGAUCAGCCACUGAUAAAAAGCUUUGUCCAGCUUUUUUUGAAAAGAUCCAUCACCCCAGACGCUGCCAAAUUCCCAAGCCAGUAUUUCCGGCUACUGACUGCUGGUGUAGCAGGCCAGCUUUCCCCCAGAAUUACUGAAGACACUCCUGUG